CUUCUUAUCUUGAUUCUUAUAUUUUAACACAUAAGUGAGAAGAACGAUAAAUCAAACUACAAUGGUUAAUCCUAUGCAAAAAUUACAAUCUUUUCUGAAGUAUUGGUAUUUUCGAUACAUGCUCGUCACCGAAUUGUAUAUGGUGGAAAAGUGGGAGAGAAAUUUUAUCAAUAUUUUCUUUCUAGUACUGUUCUCUCUCUUCUUCGUCUUCAAUUAUAAAAUAAUGCUGCCAUUUACACAAUAUAUGCUACAACGCUGAUUGGCUGUUAAAUAUAAUUAUUGUUUCUGGUGGUUGUAAAUAUAUUUUUGCAACAUUCCGUUAAUUUUUAAAGAUGAAACUUAUCGUAUAUUAUAUUGUGACUAUACAUAUACGUAUUACAUCGGUGACUUGAAAUAAUUAAUAUGGGGCUUAAACAUAAUAUUGUAAAAAUGCAAUAAAAAUCUAUGGUUGAAAAAGUAA